UGAGAGAUGACUCAGCAGGUAAGAGUGCUUGCUUCACAAACAUGAGAACUUGAGUUCAGAUCUCUGGCACUCAU
rnacentral:tRNA from 1 species